rnacentral:rRNA from 1 species
CAGCAGCCACGGGAAUACAGAGGGUGCAAGCGUUAAUCGGAAUUACUGGGCGUAAAGCGCGCGUAGGUGGUUUGUUAAGUUGGAUGUGAAAGCCCCGGGCUCAACCUGGGAACUGCAUCCAAAACUGGCAAGCUAGAGUACGGUAGAGGGUGGUGGAAUUUCCUGUGUAGCGGUGAAAUGCGUAGAUAUAGGAAGGAACACCAGUGGCGAAGGCGACCACCUGGACUGAUACUGACACUGAGGUGCGUAAGCGUGGGGAGCAAACAGGAUUAGAACCCCGGUAGUCCUGUCUCUUAUACAC